ANCCNAGCCGGUGAGGUAACCCUUCGGGGAGCCAGCCGUCUAAGGUGGGACAGAUGAUUAGGGUGAAGUCGUAACAAGGUAGCCGUAGGAGAACCUGCGGCUGGAUCACCUCCUUUCUAAGGAAUAAUACGGAAAACCUUGUACAUUUGCGAAAUCAAAACUUUGUUUAGUUUUGAGAGGUCUACUCUCAAACUUUGUUCUUUGAAAACUGGAUAAUAAGUAAUAUAUUAGUUUUAAAAGCCGAGAAAAACAUUGCGUUUUAAAGAGUUUUUUAAUAAUAGAAAUAUGAAUUAGUUCAUAUCGCUAAACUCAAAUAAUAACCCUUUACCGUAGGUAAAGAUAGGUUAAGUUAUAAAGGGCGCAUGGUGGAUGCCUUGGCACUAGGAGCCGAUGAAGGACGGUACUAACACCGAUAUGCUUCGGGGAGCUGUAAGUAAGCUUUGAUCCGGAGAUUUCCGAAUGGGGGAACCCAAUACUUUUAAUCGAGUAUUAUCAUUAAGUGAAUACAUAGCUUAAUGAAGGUAGACGAGGGGGAACUGAAGCGUCUAAGUACCCUCACGAGGGAAAAAGAAGGAAUGGUUUCCCCCCGG
rnacentral:misc_RNA from 1 species